CACUUUUGUUGUUGCAGAGACGGGUUUUGCUGUGACCGCCAUCUCCCGAACGCCCGGCGUCACCUACUACGACUCGUUUGACCUCCAGUGUAUCCUGAAGCCGCAUUACCCACCCUGGGUGGGCAUCUCGGUGACCUGGCGAUUCCAGCCCGUGGGAGGCGGGGAGACCCAUGACCUGGUGACCUUCAGCCACUCUGGGGGAGUCCAGUGGGGGGAUAAAGCUGGGAAUUUUCGAGGCCGCAGCAUCGUGGAGAAGACGGAUUCCAGUCACAAUGUGCGUCUGAGCAUCAGCCGGGCGAGUGAGUCCGAGGCCGGCAAGUACCAGUGUGUGGCCGAGCUGUGGAGGAGAGAGUACAACGCUAGCUGGACCCGCUUGGCUGAAAGAGCGUCCAACCUGCUGGAAAUUAGAGUCCAGCGACCAGUGUCUCCCUGCGGAUCAGGAAGGAGGAG